rnacentral:rRNA from 1 species
UGGGGAAUAUUGCACAAUGGGCGCAAGCCUGAUGCAGCCAUGCCGCGUGUGUGAAGAAGGCCUUCGGGUUGUAAAGCACUUUCAGCGGGGAGGAAGGCGUUAAGGUUAAUAACCUUGGCGAUUGACGUUACCCGCAGAAGAAGCACCGGCUAACUCCGUGCCAGCAGCCGCGGUAAUACGGAGGGUGCAAGCGUUAAUCGGAAUUACUGGGCGUAAAGCGCACGCAGGCGGUCUGUCAAGUCGGAUGUGAAAUCCCCGGGCUCAACCUGGGAACUGCAUUCGAAACUGGCAGGCUAGAGUCUUGUAGAGGGGAGUAGAAUUCCAGGUGUAGCGGUGAAAUGCGUAGAGAUCUGGAGGAAUACCGGUGGCGAAGGCGGCCCCCUGGACAAAGACUAACGCUCAGGUGCGAAAGCAUGGGGAGCAAACAGG